rnacentral:rRNA from 1 species
AAUAGAUACCCAGGUAGUCCACGCCGUAAACGUUGGGAACUAGGUGUUGGCGACAUUCCACGUCGUCGGUGCCGCAGCUAACGCAUUAAGUUCCCCGCCUGGGGAGUACGGCCGCAAGGCUAAAACUCAAAGGAAUUGACGGGGGCCCGCACAAGCAGCGGAGCAUGUGGCUUAAUUCGACGCAACGCGAAGAACCUUACCAAGGCUUGACAUAUACCGGAAAGCAUCAGAGAUGGUGCCCCCCUUGUGGUCGGUAUACAGGUGGUGCAUGGCUGUCAUCAGCUCGUGUCGUGAGAUGUUGGGUUAAGUCCCGCAACGAGCGCAACCCUUGUUCUGUGUUGCCAGCAUGCCUUUCGGGGUGAUGGGGACUCACAGGAGACUGCCGGGGUCAACUCGGAGGAAGGUGGGGACGACGUCAAGUCAUCAUGCCCCUUAUGUCUUGGGCUGCACACGUGCUACAAUGGCCGGUACAAUGAGCUGCGAUGCCGUGAGGCGGAGCGAAUCUCAAAAGCCGGU